rnacentral:rRNA from 1 species
GAUGAACGCUGGCGGCGUGCCUAAUACAUGCAAGUCGAGCGAACAGACGAGGAGCUUGUUCCUCUGACGUUAGCGGCGGACGGGUGAGUAACACGUGGAAAAUCUCCCUAUAAGACUGGGAUAACUUCGGGAAACUGGAGCUAAUACCGGAUAAUAUAUUGAACCGCAUGGUUUAAUAGUGAAAGACGGUUUUGCUGCCACUAAUAGUUGGAUCCGCGCCGCAUCAGCUAGUUGGUAAGGUAACGGCUUACCAAGGCAACGAUGCGUAGCCGACCUAAGGGGGUGAUCGGCCACACUGGAACUGAGACACGGCCCAGACUCCUACGGGAGGCGGCAUUAGGGAAUCUUCCGCAAUGGGCGAAAGCCUGACGAGGCAACGCGGCGUGAGUAAUGAGGUUCUUCGGAUCGUAAAACUCUGUUAUUGGGGAAGAACAAAUGUGUAAGUAACUAUGCACGUCGUGACGGUACCUAAUCAGAAAGCCACGGCUAACUACGUG